CAUAUUAUAAAACACAAUAUAAAAUAUUCAAAUAUUAUUCAAUUUCAAAUAUACGUCGUUUAUUUACCUCACCAAACCAUAAAUGGCGAGCAACAUGAUGCUCGUACUUUACCAAAAGAGACGUAUCGUAUAUUAUAAAACACAAUAUAAAAUAUUCAAAUAUUAUUCAAUUUCAAAUAUACGUCGUUUAUUUACCUCACCAAACCAUAAAUGGCGAGCAACAUGAUGCUCGUACUUUACCAAAAGAGACGUAUCGUUCGACCCUCCUGGAUAGCCAGCAGACUCUACUACAUAUGUAGAUGCACCCCGUCCAAAACUACGGUCUGGAAUCCUACUGUCGGCACCUCGUCUUCG
rnacentral:lncRNA from 1 species